UUUCCGUAGGUGAACCUGCGGAAGGAUCAUUAUAAAUGAAAAACGAAUAACUUCAGGGAAGAAGGGAACCUGCACGGUGACCUCCCCUGUCGGGCCACCCAAUACCUUCAAAAUGCCGCCGUCCCAGCGGUGGCAGACGAAAAAAAAACAAGAAAAACAAAAUAGAAACAGGCACGGUGGCCCGUUCACCUUCACACAACCCUCCGAGUACCGCUUCCAUGUUGCUUCCCCGCAAAUCCACCUCUUUGGUGAGCGCGGGGGAGGUCCGCAUCAAAUUCACCUGAAUGUCACAGCAGUCAGACAGCCAUUCAUGGAAACAAUAAAACUUUCAACAACGGAUCUCUUGGUUCCC
rnacentral:misc_RNA from 1 species